CGGUUGGGAGGAGUUAACGCUUGAGGGCGGGGCUGCGCCACGCCGCAGGCUCUUCCGCGCUGUGGGCAGGCUCUGGCUAUGCCUGAGCAGAAGUGGAGAACUUGGCCCCAUACUAGCAAGAUUCUAUUUCUCCACUGAUUACUUUUGGAACAGAAAAGAUCUGGGAGGACACUUUUCUACAUAUUUUAAAGCUUCAGUCCUGCAAUACACUUUACAUGUGAACCACUGAACACUGACAUCGGUGGAGCUUCGUGCAGCUGCAGGUUUCUGCCCACACAGUGCCCCCAUAGGACUGGAGUCUAAAUAUCUACAAACUUGGGCCCUGAUUCAGAAAAGCAUCUCUUGUGGUCUUCCUUCAAUAGACUUUAACUUGUGCUUAUCUGCUGUCCUGAAUAGACAGACUUAAGCAUGUGGUUAAGGACCUCUCUGAACCAGCGUCUUCGGACUUGAUCCUGCAGACUGUUAAGUAUGUGAUCCUUGGUGUUCCAAAUUUACUUAUAGCUUUUAAAUUUUGAAAGGCUUCCUGUUUUCUGGUUACGUAGUCUUUUAAUUUUGUAUUGUAUUGGCGCCUCGAGACAAUGCCGUUAAGUCAAAAAUCAUCACAGCAGUAUGCUGUUUUUAGGGUUAAUCAAACUCUCUGACCCUUAUGGCCACCUUACAUAUACACAUGUGAGAUGUAGAAGGGGGAAAGAAUCUGCAUUAGAAAGACACAGAACAGUGGUAGGAAAAAGAGCUCAGAAUGAAAGUCUGGAGACGGCCUUGGGGUGGCACAGUUAGCGGGAACGCUAAUGAAGACAGAGAGGGCCUUCAGGAGCACAAAAUGACUUGGAGGAGGAAAGCAGAGAGAGAUGGUAGAGACAACAGAAAUAGAAGAGAGGGAGGUAUUAGAUAGUAAAGAAAGACUUGUCUUUAGUAGAGGGAGAAGAGGUGGGAAGAGAACAGAAGAAAGGGGCCAUGGGAGCCAGGAGAGAAAUGAGAAAAGAUCAGAUCCUGGAAUCCUACUGUAUAGAGAGAGAUGAAGCCCAAGUAAAAUGUUACCAAAAAAAAAAAAAGCCCUGAAAACAGGCGGAUAGAUAAAUGAAGUAAAAUAUUGUCAUUGAUAGAUCCAAACUUUGGAGAUCCAUCCAUCUGAGACAGCUGUAAGCCUGACACUUUUUAUUAUGCUA